UGCUGAACCCGGGACCAGACGGAGACUGGAGCUCAUUAUCUAUCGGGACGUCCAUCUACACAACUGAAUAAAUGGGUUUUCACGGUUUUCAUGAAAGCUGAUUGUGCCCUUUGACCUCACAAACAACGCUAUGGCUGUGGAAAUUGGCCGGAGUUCUCCUUCAACGACGACUUUCUUCGGCACCAAACACCUCUCGCUUCUCCAUCAGAGAGCCAAAUG